rnacentral:rRNA from 1 species
AUUUGUGACCAUACCUGCUUGUCAGUGCCCAGUCUUGUCAGAUCUUGGAAGCUAAGUAAGGUCGGGCCUGGUUAGUACUUGAACAGAAGGGAUCUCUGGGAGUAUUAAGAU